rnacentral:lncRNA from 1 species
CAGGCAGAGGAGACGGCACCAAAGCUCAUUCAUCCCUUCCUGAGAGGACCUUUUCUGCUCCCUUCUUGCACUCCCUAAGAAAUCAUCGGCAUCCCCUUCCCAGACUGCGUGCGAAAAGUUGGACCAUUAUUCUUGAAGUGCCCAGUUUGGCAGGUGUAAAUUAAGUAUUUGAAAGCAAUUGAACGAUGGAGCCAGACAUCAUUCGAAUGUACUCUUCAUCCCCACCACCACUAGACAAUGGAGCUGAGGAUGAUGAUGACGAUGAAUUUGGGGAAUUUGGUGGGUUUUCUGAAGUUAGCCCUUCUGGUGUAGGGUUUGUUGAUUUUGAUACACCAGAUUACACUCGUCCCAAGGAAGAGUUUGUACCUUCAAACCAUUUUAUGCCAAUUCAUGAUUUCUCAGAAAAUGUAGAUAGCCUUACAAGCUUUAAGUCCAUUAAAAAUAGUAACGAUAAGGACAUCACUGCUGAACUUUCUUCUCCUGUGAAAGGACAGUCUGAUGUUUUACUUUCUACCACCAGCAAAGAAAUAAUUUCAUCUAAAACUUUAGAUACUUCCAUUGAUGGCAUAGAAAGUCCACGAGAUUUAAAUAAAGAAGUUGAGCAGAGACAGAAUGUUGGAACACCUGAAAGUUUCUCUCCAGGAGAUUUUAGAACUGAUCUGAAUGUUGUUCAUCAGAACAAGCAGUUAGAGAGCUGCAAUGGUGAAAAGCCUCCUUGUCUGGAGAUUCUAACAAAUGGGUUUGCAGUGUUGGAAACUGUAAAUCCUCAGGGAACAGAUGAUCUGGACGCUGUAGCUGAUUCAAAAGGACGAAAGCCUGUUAGCACUCAUAGUACUGAGUAUAAUUUAGACUAUGCACCUAGUCCCGCUGAGGAAUUUGCAGAUUUUGCCACAUUUUCCAGAAAAGAAAGGAUACAACUAGAAGAAAUAGGAUGUGCAGUUUUAAAUGAUGAAGCACUAACCAUUCAGGAAAACAAUAAAAUUAAUAGAGUCAAUGAACUGAAUUCUGUAAAAGAAGUUUCUUUGGAUAGAAGCUUUGAUGAUAAAGGAGACACUGCUAGAAAGGAUCAGGUUUGUGUUUCAGAAAUAAGCAUAGCGAGUGACAGGGGUUUCAGCAGGGGAAAGCAAGGCCUUCCCACAUUGCAACAAGAUGAAUUUUUCAAUUCAAGGGUUCAGUCAGAGGCUUGGAGUUUGGCAGACCCAGCUGAAAAAUCAGAAGCCAGUAGGAGAGAACAAUGUGAAGCUGAGGAAAAUCUUGAUUUAUUCACUUCUAAAUGUGCUGACCUGUGCAUGGUUUCUAUUAAAACUUUGGAUGCAGAUGACGAAGUUGGUUCUUCCAAAGAAGAAAUUAGAGGGUUUACUGACUCCCAGAGCCUCAGCUUUGAUCCUACAGAAGAAAAUGUUUUGGAUGAUUCUGUGAGUGUAAAAAAUGAUGAUAGUAGUAAUGACUUUGUGACUUGCAACGAUACCAUUGAGGAUGAUUUUGGUGACUUUGGCACAGCCAGUGGCACAACUCCACCUUUUGUUACUGCUGGUACCCAAGAUUCAAUGAGUGAUGUCACUUUUGAAGAGUCCUCAGAGCACUUUCCACAUUUGAGUGAACCAGGUGAUGACUUUGGAGAAUUCGGGGAAUCAAAUACUGUCUCUUGCCAAGAGGAGAUUGUAUUUUCUGAGUCAGACCUAAAACAGACUUCUGAUAGUUUAUCAGAGGGAUGCAGUUUGGCAAGAAAACCUACUGGGACAGGCACUGAACCUAUUUCAAAACUGGAAAUUGGGCAAGAAGGUGAGUUUGGAGACUUUGAUUCUGUGCCAAAUAUUCAAGAUGACUGCAGUGCUUUUCAAGACUCGGAUGAUUUUGCGGACUUCAGUUCAGCUGGUCUUAGCCAGGUUGUAGAUUGGAAUGCUUUUGAGGAUGGACAGAAAGAUAGCUAUUCCUGGGCUGCUUUUGGAGACCAGCAAGCCACUGAAUCUCAUCAUCGAAAGGAAGCCUGGCAGUCGCAUAGGACAGAUGAAAAGAUUGAUGCUCCAGGAACCCCCAAAGUGCACAGUGUCUCCUUAGCAGCUUCCAAAGGAGCAGUUGCUGGUGGUCAUUUACACGAAACAACCACUUCAGUUCAGACAGCUUUACUAAACCGCCUGGAGCGAAUUUUCGAAGCAUGUUUUCCUUCCAUAUUUGUCCCUGAUACUGAAGAAGAAGUUACUUCCCUGAAGCACUUACUGGAAACAAGCACCUUGCCAAUAAAAACAAGAGAGGCCUUAGCUGAAAGUGGGGAACUGCUGGAUGUGUGGACCGAACUACAGGACGUCCAUGAUGCACAUGGCUUGAGAUAUCAGUGGGGUGGCUCCCAUAGCAACAAGAAACUUUUAUGCUCCCUGGGAAUAGACACCCGAAACAUUCUCUUCACGGGCAAUAAGAAGCAACCUGUUAUAGUGCCCAUGUAUGCAGCAGGAUUGGGUAUGUUAGAGCCCACCAAGGAACCACUGAAACCACUAUCUGCUGCAGAAAAAAUCGCUUCCAUCGGUCAGACCACCACUAUGUCACCAGAGAUGAACACAUGUACAUCUGACCAAUUCCAGGAGUCUCUACCACCCGUCCAGUUUGACUGGAGUAGCAGUGGCCUUACUAACCCUUUAGAUGCUAGUGGAGGUUCCACUCUUCUGAACCUUGAUUUCUUUGGGCCCGUGGAUGACAGUAGCUCUAGCAGCAGCACCACAAUCCCAGGUGUGGAUCCAGAGUUGUAUGAAUUAACAACUUCUAAGCUGGAAAUCUCCACCUCAAGCCUCAAAGUGACUGAUGCAUUUGCAAGACUCAUGUCCACAGUAGAGAAGACAAGCACAUCUACCAGGAAACCUAAAAGAGAAGAGCACCUGAGCGAAGAAGCCAUCAAGGUGAUCGCCAGCCUUCCUGACCUAACGUUCAUGCAUGCCAAGGUGUUGAUGUUCCCGACCACCUUGACACCUUCCACAAGCUCCCAAGAGAAGGCAGAUGGAUAA